rnacentral:rRNA from 1 species
UACGGAGGAUCCAAGUGUUAUCCGGAUUCAUUGGGUUUAAAGGGUGCGUAGGCGGAAUGAUAAGUCAGUGGUGAAAGCCUGUUGCUUAACAACAGAACUGCCAUUGAUACUGUCAAUCUUGAGUACAUUUGAUGUGGGCGGAAUGUGUCAUGUAGCGGUGAAAUGCUUAGAUAUGACACAGAACACCGAUUGCGAAAGGCAUGC